AUGCUGGAUCUUCACCCCCCUAUGCCCCGCCCAGCCAUCUCCUUUCCCGUUCCAAACUUAAAUGGAAACCCUAGCGCCGCCUUGGGUGGCGGCUACCUUCUCUACCCGCAGCAUCUCCGAUACCUCAUACCCUGCUCAGUCAACUCCUACAUGCGUAACCUGAACCUGAGUGUUAACCUCAGAGCCGCCUUGAGCCGCCUGCAGGAUCGCCAAUCUCCCAUGGCCAGCUCAGGCAACUACAUCCACACACUGAACCCAAACACAAACCUGAACCUGAGCGCCAACCCCAGCGCCGCCUCGCACGGCCACUACCUUCAGAACAUGCAGGAUAUUCGACAGCCCAUGUCCCGCCCAGUAAUAUCCUCUGCCAUGCCAAACCAGAGCGACAACCCCCGCACCGCCUCAGGUGCCAAACCCGAACAUAAUAAAGGAGCACCGAACGGAAGGCAGAUGGUUCUGAUUUCUGAUGAUUCUGAUUCUGAUUCUGAUUCUGAUUCUGAUGAUUUUUUCGAAGAAGAGGCUCCCCCCACACACUCCAAGUCAAAUGGGAAAGCUUCAUCUGAUAGCCUAAAAACUGGUGGAAAGGCUUCAUCCUUUUCUAAUGGAGAAGGUAGCAAAGGAGGGAAGGCAUUUAGUGCUGGGAAGGGUGGGAAGGGCUCCGCAUCAAAUGCAAAGCCUGCAAUGUCUGAUGCAGAACUAAAGCUUCAGCUUGAUAUGUCUCCAAAUUCUAUAUUGUUAACGAACUGUGAAGCAGCAGAAAUGUUGCAGAAAAUUCAGGGACAUAUGGCUAUCUUAUCAGAGGAUCCGAAGAUAAAAAUUCCCGAGUCGUUUGACAAGGCCUUUCAAUAUGCAAAAGAAGGAAAUCACUUCACCUCCGCGAAGUUGGUGAAAGAAAUCCUGGAACCCCUUAAAGACUAUGGUGUUAAUGAUGGCGAGAUAUGCAUGAUUGCGAACAUUGGGCCUGAGACCAUUGAAGAGGUUUAUGCACUCAUACCGUCUCUCAAGGCCACUAGGUCGAUCAAUGAAGGCAAGAUCGCAGAGGCCCUUACCGCCCUCGCUAACAUAAAAGCCUCCAAGUGA
rnacentral:rRNA from 1 species